rnacentral:sRNA from 10 species
UGAAAGCGUUGUCAAGCGGUUAGACAUUCUGCGUGCCUGCACGCAGUGAAGAAUAGGCAUUUGACGACCAAGCCGGUAUGGUAAGCAGGGCGAUAGCCCGGAUUACGAAUGCUGGCGGUAGCUGCGGGAGUGCCGAAGCCACGGAGCAGCUGGCUUUCA